rnacentral:rRNA from 1 species
UUAAAUUGAAGAGUUUGAUCAUGGCUCAGAUUGAACGCUGGCGGCAGGCCUAACACAUGCAAGUCGAACGGUAACAGGAAACAGCUUGCUGUUUCGCUGACGAGUGGCGGACGGGUGAGUAAUGUCUGGGAAACUGCCUGAUGGAGGGGGAUAACUACUGGAAACGGUAGCUAAUACCGCAUAACGUCGCAAGACCAAAGAGGGGGACCUUCGGGCC